rnacentral:tRNA from 1 species
GGGGGCGUAGCUCAGUGGGAGAGCGCUGCGUUCGCAUCGCAGAAGUCAGGGGUUCGAGUCCCCUCGCCUCCACCC